AACUUUCAACAACGGAUCUCUUGGCAUCCCACUCGAUGAAGAACGUAGCGAAUUGCGAUAAGUAAUGUGACUUGCAGAACACAGUGAAUCAUCGAAUCUUUGAACGCACCUUGCACCCUCUGGUAUUCCGGAGGGUAUGCCCGGUUGAGUGUCUUGAACCUCUCAGGCUCGCGAGUUUUUAUUAACUCGUCCGAGUGCUGGUCUUUGAGCGUGUUGCCGGCGACUUGCUUGCCGGCUCGCUCGAAAUGCAUUAGCUGGAUCCGACCGUCGGGUUUCUCCUUCAACGUGAUAAGUUGAUCGUUGUCUGGGGUGACGGGCGUGGUCCGCUUCUAACCGUCUUCGGACUGCUUUUUCUGACAUUUACACCUCAACUCGGGUAGGACUACCCGCUGAACUUAAGCAUAUCAAUAAGCGGAGGCU
rnacentral:misc_RNA from 1 species